rnacentral:lncRNA from 1 species
CGGGUGAAUCGUUGGAGAGAAGAUGUCCUCCGAUAUUUAUCCGUGAUAAUUGCUCGAAUCAUGCGAGUGGAACGAUCCGAAUUCUUACCUGCAAGAUGGAAAACCUUCGUGAAAAUACCGUACCACGAUGGUUUUUUUUUUUUAUCUGAACGUUUUUAAUCUACAUUAUUACAUCCCGCUGGUGACAAUCGACUGACGAAUCGGCGAAAGAGUAAUGGACAACGACGAACUGUGCCGUACAUACCGCUGCGCGAUCAUCAUUUUUGAUCAUCUAAAAAUACAAACUUCAAUUCAUUACAUCGUAUCGUUACUCUGCAUCUGAAGGAAAUGGAUCGAAAAAAACAUCGUUUUACCGAAUGAAUAUUCCCCAGCUACAACCGAACAAUACGCGAAAUCAAAUCCGUAAUUUUGACGAGUAUCUUCGCGUUAUCAGAGGAUUCCUAAAUUUGAUCAAUAGACAUCCUGACAACCCACCGUUCAUCUUGUUUUUCUUCGAGCUCGUAACGAUCUGCAGACUAAACGCGACACAGGAAAGACGCGGUGCUUAAGGGAGGUGGGCACUGCUUUGGAACUGUCUUCGCCACGGAAAAGAAAAGUAAAGAGAGAAAAUGACGCUGAAAGACGAGCUUGGAUUAUAAAAAACACUUUGGAGAGAAAUAUUUGGACUUUAAGGAGAUUAUAAAGACUGAUCGCGUUUGCGAUGAAUUAAUGAAUCGAACAAAGAACAGC